rnacentral:rRNA from 1 species
AUGGCCUCCCUCACAAGUCCAUGGCUAGUGCUUCUCGUGGGCAUGGGCUGCACGUUCCUCGCGGCAGCCAGCGGCGGUAGCCGGAACCCCACCGCCGGCUUCGAGAAGGUGGAGCUCACCGAUGGCGACUUCCAGGUGCAGAGCCCGUCCAACGUGCCGGAGAGCCAGCGGUUCCAGUACCGCAACGGGGUGCGGACGUUCUGGGUGCACCGAAACGACAAGCCCAUCAACACCGCCACCCACACCAACCCUCGCUCCGAAGUGAAGCUCCGGGGCCACGACUACUCGUCGGGGGUGUGGCAGUUCGAGGGCUACGGCUACGUGCCGUCGGGGACCUCCGGCGCAUCGGUGAUGCAGAUCCACAACCAGGAGGGCGCCGCGCACUCGACGAUACUGAUGUUGCACGUCUACAAUGGUGUCCUGCGCUUCUACAGCGGGACGGUGGUCGAACCCGACAUCUACAACCGGUGGUUCCGCCUAAACGUGGUGCACGACGUCCGGGCAUCGACGGUGGCCGUGUACAUCGACGGCAAGCACAAGUUCGGCACCAGCGUGACCCCCAGCGAGUCCUACUACUUCAAGUUUGGGGUGUACAUGCAGCACCACGACCAGUCCAGCUGCAUGGAGUCGCGUUGGACCAACGUCACGCUCUACACUAAGCACUGA